rnacentral:rRNA from 1 species
GACGAACGCUGGCGGCGUGCUUAACACAUGCAAGUCGAACGGAAAGGCCCUGCUUUUGUGGGGUGCUCGAGUGGCGAACGGGUGAGUAACACGUGAGUAACCUGCCCUUGACUUUGGGAUAACUUCAGGAAACUGGGGCUAAUACCGGAUAGGAGCUCCUGCUCCAUGGUGGGGGUUGGAAAGUUUCGGCGGUUGGGGCUGGACUCGCGGCUUAUCCGCUUGUUGGUGGGGUUGUGGCUUACCAAGGCUUUGACGGGUAGCCGGCCUGAGAGGGUGGCCGGCCACAUUGGGACUGAGAUACGGACCAGAAUCCUACGGGAGGCAGCAGUGGGGAAUAUUGCACAAUGGGCGGAAGCCUGAUGCAGCAACGCCGCGUGCGGGAUGACGGCCUUCGGGUUAUAAACCGCUUUCGCCUGUGACGAAGCGAGAGUGACGGUAAUGGGUAAAGAAGCACCGGCUAACUACGUG